GACGAACGCUGGCGGCGUGCUUAACACAUGCAAGUCGAACGGAAAGGCCCUGCUUUUGUGGGGUGCUCGAGUGGCGAACGGGUGAGUAACACGUGAGUAACCUGCCCUUGACUUUGGGAUAACUUCAGGAAACUGGGGCUAAUACCGGAUAGGAGCUCCUGCUGCAUGGUGGGGGUUGGAAAGUUUCGGCGGUUGGGGAUGGACUCGCGGCUUAUCAGCUUGUUGGUGGGGUAGUGGCUUACCAAGGCUUUGACGGGUAGCCGGCCUGAGAGGGUGACCGGCCACAUUGGGACUGAGAUACAGCCCAGGCUCCGACGGGAGGCAGCAGUGGGGAAUAUUGCAAAAUGGGCGGAAGCCUGAUGCAGCAACGCCGCGUGCGGGAUGACGGCCGUCGGGUUGUAAACCGCUUUCGCCUGUGACGAAGCGUGAGUGACGGUAAUGGGUAAAGAAGCACCGGCUAACUACGUG
rnacentral:rRNA from 1 species